rnacentral:rRNA from 1 species
GAUGAACGCUGGCGGCGUGCCUAAUACAUGCAAGUCGAGCGAACGGACGAGAAGCUUUCUUCUCUGAUGUUAGCGGCGGACGGGUGAGUAACACGUGGAUAACCUACCUAUUAUACUGGGAUAACUUCGGGAAACCGGAGCUAAUACCGGAUGAUAUGUUGUACCGCAUGGUUCAAAAGUGAAAGACGGUCUUGCUGUCACUUAUAGAUGGUUCCGCGCUGCAUUAGCUAGUUGGUAAGGUAACGGCUUACCAAGGCAACGAUGCAUAGCCGACCUGAGAGGGUGAUCGGCCACACUGGAACUGAGACACGGUCCAGACUCCUACGGGAGGCAGCAGUAGGGAAUCUUCCGCAAUGGGCGAAAGCCUGACGGAGCAACGCCGCGUGAGUGAUGAAGGUCUUCGGGUCGUAAAACUCUGUUAUUAGGGAAGAACAGAUGUGUAAGUAAAUGUGCACAUCUUGACGGUACCUAAUCAGAAAGCCACGGCUAACUACGUG